GCCCGGCUAGCUCAAUCGGUAGAGCGUGAGACUCUUAAUCUCAAGGUUGUGGGUUCGACCCGUAAGCGCAUUCCCGACUCGUGAUGCAUCACGAACACUUCAACUAACAAAAACCAGCCACGUCGGGCUCA